GCCAUGGCUCACAGGCCCAGCCGCUCCACGGCACGUGGGGUCUUCCCGGACCGGGGCACGAACCCGUGUCCCCUGCGUCGGCAGGCGGACUCUCAACCACUGCGCCGCCAGGGAAGCCCUAUCUGUGCUCCCUUUUAGCUCAUUGAGCACCUUUUGUUAUUUUGAAUUACUUGGCGUCACUCGACUUACAGAUUCUUCCUCAUCCAGGACACACCUCGUUAGCAAGAGAGGUGGAGUAACGUGGUGUGGGGUAGAGGCUCCUAAGCAAGGCUGUCUGUCCUCAAAAAUUGACUCUGCUCUUUUCUAGCUGAGGCUGUGAGUUAUUUAUACUUCUGUAUCUUAACUUUUCUCAUCAAUAAAAUAACAGUAGUAGAAAA